rnacentral:sRNA from 1 species
CACUGCCUUCCAGCCUAGGCGACAGAGUGAAACUUCGUUUCAACAACAACAACAACAACAAACAACCUAGAGGAGUGUCUUCAUGGGUGGAUUAUGUACCUUAGGCAUCUACCCAGCCACUGGAGUAGCCAAGGCACAUUCGUGCUGUGAAUGUGCUUUGAUGUGUUCUCCAGUGGGCUGGUGCUUGAACUUUCUCCAUGUGUUUGCAGACUGCUGUUGUCUGAGGAGCUGACUAGCCUGCUGGUCGUGCACUGGGGUGGGCUGCUGCUUGACCUCUCAGCUGGUUUCCUGCUCUUUUUUGAUGUCUCAAGAUCCAUUGGCCUGUUCUUUGUGUCCUACUUCCACUGCAUGAAUUCCCAGCUUUUCAGCAUUGGUAUGUUCUCCUACGUCAUGCUGGCCAGCAGCCCUCUCUUCUGCUCCCCUGAGUGGCCUCGGAAGCUGGUGUCCUACUGCCCCCAAAGGUUGCAAGAACUGUUGCCCCUCAAGGCAGCCCCUCAGCCCAGUGUUUCCUGUGUGUAUAAGAGGAGCCGGGGCAAAAGUGGCCAGAAGCCAGGGCUGCGCCAUCAGCUGGGAGCUGCCUUCACCCUGCUCUACCUCCUGGAGCAGCUAUUCCUGCCCUAUUCUCAUUUUCUCACCCAGGGCUAUAACAACUGGACAAAUGGGCUGUAUGGCUAUUCCUGGGACAUGAUGGUGCACUCCCGCUCCCACCAGCACGUGAAGAUCACCUACCGUGAUGGCCGCACUGGCGAACUGGGCUACCUUAACCCUGGGGUAUUUACACAGAGUCGGCGAUGGAAGGAUCAUGCAGACAUGCUGAAGCAAUAUGCCACUUGCCUGAGCCGCCUGCUUCCCAAGUAUAA